CAAAAAACCAAACCGAACCAGUGCGUGCCACCCCGCAACCCGUCGCCGCACGCCGCCCCGCAACCCGUAGUACACCUCCGCUCCACCGCGCCAGAAGCCUCCUUCUCCUGCUCCGGCCGCCUCCCUCCCUAGCGCCGGCGGCCUCUCUCCAUCCUGGGUCGACCUUCUCCUUCCCCCGCGACGGACGCCUCCCUUCACCAUGCGCUGCCCCGUCUGCUUCCACCCGCCGCCGCCGCCCCCUGCUCCCAUGAGCAGCUGGCGGCCUCCCUGGUUCCACGCGCCGCCGGCGGUCCUCCUGCUUCCGACCCCCGCCGGCGAGGGCCAUCCCAGCGCCGCCAAUUGCCGCGACCAGCCUUCCCUACCGCCGUCUUGGUGAACUUCCCCCACCUCGCAGCGGACCGUCAGUUCGUCACAUCGCAUCGCUGCAUCUGGUGGCCACAACACGCCGUCCAAUUCGGCAGUCCAACUGCUUGCUCCACGGUCGGUCGCUCAAGGAGCUGCGUGCAGGCCACCCUGUGCUCCGCCCUGGAUCCGGCUUGACUUUCUCCAUCCAGCUCAUCUGCAUCUCGAUCAACCUCAACUCCAUCCAGCUAUCUACCACAGGUUAUGCUAUCUUUUCUAAAUCGGAUGCCAUUUGUGCUUGAUGGCUGCUGCUACACUUGCACUGCUUGAUCAUGGGCAUGGUGCUACUAAUUGGUGUAGAGUUCUUGGGCCUGCUAUCUAGCAUUUGCACUGCAACAAUCAAUCAAGAAAGCAGACAUGGAGCAGGAUAGCAGGUGUGUGCCAUAGAUGAUGCUGAACUUGUGUGGCUGUUGCAGACGAACUUAGUUGAACUUGGUUAGUUGCUCAAGGAAUUCCCCAGGGGAUCUGAAGUCCCUCAAGAGAGCGUAGCUCCUUUACUUCUAUGUCGGCCGGCCGGACACAUCCCUGGAAUUUGUUAGCUGCUAAUUUUUGUUGUUGCUGCUGCAUGGCAAGGUGAGCUAAGGAAGAAGGAUUAAUUCAUGUUGUUUUGAUGUUUCAGGAAUUGAAAGCAUUUGGGAAAGAAAAAAAGAUGCUUUUUCAGCUACUGUACAUGAGUUGCAUUUGAGCCCUCACUAUUGUCAGAAUGUCAAAGCUAGUAUAAUCCUUACUGAGUUGCUGCUUUUCUGAAUUUUGGUUCCCACACCCAAGUCUGGUGGUUCAGUUAUUCAAUCUCGACAAGUACUGAUAAUAAAAAAUUAAAAGGUCUUCCAUCAAACAUGUUCACAUAGUAUUGUUAAGUAAGUACAGAAGUCAUGCUCUUAGUUGAACAUCAUGCAAGUUCAACUCGGCUUCGGCAUCACGAACUGGUUCAGUUCGAUCUUGCACGAGUGGGCGGGUCCUUGAUGGCGUGUGUGUCAGUUCCACUUGCACGAGUGGACGUCAGGUCACACGAGUGGGCAGCUCCCCGACGGUGAGAACCGCAGGAUGUCCACAAGGAAUGAUCUUCCAUGACAACCAACUCGUGUGAAUUCCUCCACUAAACUACAGUUCGGUCAGUUAAUGUUUUCAGUAACACGCUCAUUUCCGUUUUCUCAUUUUAGUUUAGUACAAUUUAUUAUUUUAGUUCAGUUCAAAAAACUUAUUUUAACCAUGUAAUAUACAUUGUUGGCAAAGAUGACUAUAGUUGUUAUAGCAAAAACAGUACAAACUUUUUAAAAGUUUCUUUUUGAACUUCUCCCAACUAAUAUACAUGAACUUGAUUUUCUUUUUACAUGUACUUACAGCAUCUCGUUGGAUUUUGAGCGUGUGCUUGUAACACAAUCAGUUCAUAUCUCGGGAGACCAUAAGUUCAAGUUCACUAGUAUUUACAAAUGCUGGUAGCAGUGCUAGCAUUUAAAAACUUGUGACCUAAGAAUUAAGCUUGCAUCUUCUUACUUCUAUGGAGGCACUGACCUCUUCAUUUUUUUAGACCAACCACUGACCCGAGAAUUAGCCAUGGUGGUGAUCGAGGGAGAACACUCGGCUACAGGGGUUCCCAAAUUAGUUGUGCAUGGACGGCCACCUCAAGCAGUAGUAAAGUUCAUCAUAUGUAGACUGGACAUGAACUGAACAUGCAACCUCCUGAAUGUGCCUGAUGAUGCUUGACAUAUAAGUACAUGCAAGUCGGCUCAUGGAUAAUAUGAUUUUUGUGCUGAGGUUGGUGCUAUGUGUUCAUGUGGGUGCUUGAAAAGUUCUGUACAAGAAUAGGCCGAUGAUUUUUGUGCUGAGGUUGGUGCUAUAGAUAAUAUAAUUUAUGUACAUGUAUUAUAUGUGUGGAAA